UGACCUCGGAUUAGGUAAGAAUACUUGUUAAAUUUAAAUAUAUUAAUAAGCGGAGGAAAAGAAACUAAUAGGGAUUGCCCUAAUAAUAGCGAGUAAAGCGGCAAUAGUUUAAAUUUAAAAUUUGGCUUCGGCCUAAAUUGUAAUUUGUAGAGGAAACUUUUAGUAAGGCACCUUUUAAAUCCCUUAAAAUAGGGCGCUAUAGAGGGUAAAAGCCCCGUAUAAUUGGAUGCCGAUCUAAUAUAAAGCUCCUUCGACGAAUUAAAUAAUUUAAGAAUAUUAUUUAAAAUAGGAAGUAAAUUUCUUCUAAAGCUAAAUACCGGCUAGAGACCGAUAAUAUAUAAGUAGAAUAAUUGAAAAAUAAAAAGUACUUUAAAAAAAGGGUUAAAUAGUACGUAAAAUUAUUAAAAGGGAAGCGUUUGUAAUUAAACUUACGCUAUUCUAAUUAUUUAGUAUUCUUAUUAGUAUAUUUAGGAUAGUUUAAACUAGUAUUAGUUUUAAUAGAGGGAUAAAGGUCCGGGGAAUAUAGCUCCUCCGGGAGUAUUAUAACUCCGGGUAUAAUACCUUCACCGGGACUGAGGUUCGCGCAUUUAUAAGGAUACUAGUAUAAUAAUUAUUAAUAACCUAUCUUAAAAUAUAGAUUAAGGAGUUAAGGUUUUGCGCGAGUAUUUGGGUGUAAAACCCGUACGUAUAAUAAAAAUAAAUGUAGGUGAGAGUUUCGGCGUAUUAUUGACUAAUUCUAAUAUAUUUAGAUAAAUUUAAGUAAGAAUAUUAAACUUUAGAUUUAAAAGAUGGUAAAUUAUAUUUGGAUAGAGUGAAGUUAGAGGAAAUUCUAAUAGAGGUUUGUAGUGGUUUUAAUAUAUAAAUCGAUUAUUAAAUUUAAGUAUAAGGGUAAAAAACUAAUCGAACUAUCUAAUAGCUAAUUACCGCCGAAAUUUCCCUUAGGAUAAUAGUAUUAUUCUUCAAUUUUAUAAAAUAAAGUAAAUAAUUAGGGAUUCGGGGGCGCUUUUUAACCUUUAUCUAUUUUUAAACUUUAAAUAUAUAAAAAGCCCUUAUUAUUUAAUUGAACGUAGGUAUUCGAAUAUAUUAAUACUAGUAGGCUAUUUUUAAUAAGUAGAAUUAGCGAUAUAAAAUAAACCGAACGUAGGGUUAAAGUGCCGGAGUAGACGCUUAUUAAAUAUUAUAAAAAGUAUUAGUAUAUUUUAAUAGUAGGAUAGUAGCUAUAAAAGUCGGAAUCUAUUAAAGACUAUAUAAUAAUUCACCUACUAAAUAUACUAACCCUAAAAAUAAAUAGCGUUUAAACGUCCUACCUAUACCCCGCCCUUAGGGUAGAAAUAAUACCCUAAAGAGUAGGCGGCCGUAAAGGUUAAUAAUAAAGUUUAAGGCGUAAGCCCGGGUCGAACGGCCUCUAAUAUAGAUUUUAAUAGUAGUAAUAAAUAUUUUAAUAAGAAUUUAAAGGACCGAAGUAGGGAAAGGUUCUAUAUAAAUAGCGGUUAAAUAUAAAUUAGUCGAUCCUAAGCUAUAGGGAAAUUCUAUUUUAAAGGGGCACUUAUACCCUAUAUAAUAAAAGGGAAGCCGAUUAAUAUUCCGGUACUUAAAUAUAAGUUUUAUAUAAUAAUGCAACUAAAUAUAGAAAUAAUAGCGGGGGCCCCGGGCAGAAUUCUCUUUUCUUCUUAAUAAUCUAUUAUUUUAAAAAUAAUUUAUUUGGAAAUAGGGUUUAAUAGCCGGAAGAACCUAAUACUUCUAUUAGGUCCGGUAUACUUUUAAUAUCCUUUAAAAAUCCGCGGAAGGGAAUAAUUCUUACGUUAGAUUAUAUUUAUAACCGCAAUAAAUCUCUAAGGUAAAUAGCUUCUAAUUAAUAGAAUAAUAUAGAUAAGGGAAGUUAGUAAAAUAAAUCCGUAACUUUAAGAAAAGGAUUGGCUUUAAGGGUUAAGUACAUUGGGCUUUAAGUAAACGCCCUAGGAAUAGAUUACUACUAGCCGGGUAAUUAGCCGGCGGUUUUUAGUAUCCGGGUAUAGAAGCCCUUAAUAGACUUCAAUCGUCCGGCGUACAUUUAAUAACUAAUUUAGAAUUAAUAUAGAUAAGGGGAAUCUAAUUAUUUAAUUAAAAUAUAGUAUUACGAUAAUUAGAAAGUAGUAUUAAUGUAAUAUAAUUUCUACUUAAUAUUCUAAAUAUUAAAAUAAAGAAAUUCAAUUAAGUGCGGAUAAAUAGCGGGAGUAAUUAUAAUUUUCUUAAAAUAGCUAAAUACCUUAUUAUUUAAUUAGUAAUAUAUAUAAAUAGAUUAACGAGAUUCCUACUAUCCCUAUUUACUAUUUAGUAAAAUUAUAACUAAAGGAAUAAAUUUAGUAAAAUUAGUAGAGAAAGAAGACCCUAUUAAGCUUAAUUCUAAUUUAAUAUUAUAAAAAGAUAUAGGAGGUGUAGAAUAAGUAGGAGCUUCGGUGCCGGUAAAAUACUACUAUUCUUAUUAUUUUUUUACUUAUUUAAUUAAAUAGGGCUAGAUUUUCGUCCAACUUCUAGUUUUAAGGUCCUUCGCGGGCCAACCCGGGUUAAAGAUAUUAUUAGGUAGGGAAUUUAGUUAGGACAGUAUAUUUAUUAAACUAUAAUGCAAGUAUUUUAAGGGGGGUUUAUAGAGAAUAGAAAUCUCUAAUAGAAUAAAAGGGUAAAAGUCCCUUUAAUUUUAAUUUUCAAUAUAAAUACAAAUUAUAAAAGUAUAGUUUAUCGAUCCUUUAGUCCUUUAAAAUUUAAAGCUAAAAGUACUAGAAAAAUUAUUAUAGGGAUAAUUAGCUUAUAGCGGCCAAAUAUUUAUAGCAAUAUCGCUUUUUAAUCCUUCAAUAUUAGUUCUUCCUAUUAUACCGAAGUAGAAUUUAAUAAGUAUUAAAUUAUUUACCUAUUAAUAAGGAAUAUAAAUUAGGUUUAGACCGUUGUAAAAUAGGUUAGUUUUACCCUACUAAUAACCUUAUUAUAAUAAUAAUUAAAUUUAGUAUAAAAGGAACCGCUUAUUUAAAUAAUUAGUUUUUACGGUUAUUUAACCGGGUAGUACUAUAAUACUACCAUUUAUUAAAUAAUAGUUAAAUACCUCUAAAUUAAAAUCUAUACUAGAAUGCAAUAAUACCUCUAAUAUAUUGUAGACGUAUAAGAAUAAACUCCGGCCUUAUAUUUUAAUAGGCAAUUCCUCUAUUAGCCUUAAAGUGGCUAACGGUAAUUCGUAUAUUAUAAUUUUAAUAUAUACUAAAUCAAAUCCUUUAUAAACAAUUUAAAUAUACGAAAGGGUCCUAUAAAUAGUAGAAUAGCCUUAUUAUUAUAAUCUACUAAAAGUAAACCCUCCUUCGCCUAAAUUUCC
rfam:Neurospora crassa OR74A unplaced genomic scaffold supercont12.9, whole genome shotgun sequence.